rnacentral:lncRNA from 1 species
AUAACUAAUUUUAAUCCUUAAUCAGAUAUUAUUUCAUCACACGACCCCCAUAAUCAAUCCAUAAUCAAGGAAAUCAAACACCGAAUCAGAACAAACAAAUAUUAACCAAUCUAACACUCAAACUUCACCAAUAAUUCACAUGCCGAAUCACGUUCAACAAUCACAUAAGAAUUAAAAGAGAGGAAAGAAUUGGACCUCAAUAUCGCUUUCAAAUAUCAUUCGAUAAAACGAGAUGAAACCCGCACCGGAACCUCGAACCAAAACCUCAGUAACAACCCGUAUAGAGAAACUCCAC